rnacentral:rRNA from 1 species
AUUGAACGCUGGCGGCAGGCCUAACACAUGCAAGUAGAGCGGAGCGGCGGACGGGUGAGUAAUGCCUAGGAAUCUGCCUGGUAGUGGGGGAUAACGUCCGGAAACGGGCGCUAAUACCGCAUACUAUCAGAUGAGCCUAGGUCGGAUUAGCUAGUUGGUGGGGUAAAGGCCUACCAAGGCGACGAUCCGUAACUGGUCUGAGAGGAUGACCAGCCACACUGGGACUGGAACACGGCCCAGACGCCUACGGUGGGCAGCAGUGGGGAAUAUUGCGCAAUGGGGGCAACCCUGACGCAGCCAUGCCGCGUGAAUGAAGAAGGCCUUCGGGUUGUAAAGUUCUUUCGGUAGCGAGGCGUUAACUACAGAAGAAGCACCGGCUAACUCCGUGCCAGCAGCCGCGGUAAUUC